rnacentral:lncRNA from 1 species
UACAUAUUUCCUAUGACACGUAUCAAGAUUUAAGAUGACAUUUCAUUGGGUGUGUCAUCUGGAUGGAGUUAUCCAGACUUGAUUCAAAGGUACCAAAUAUAGACCAUCAAGUUUCUCGAUUUGUAAGCCAAGCCAUUUUUGUUAGAUACAAGCCUUUUAACCAGUUUGUGGUACAAAGAUACACGUCAGGAGGACCCUUAGGAGUCGUGGACAAGCCUCCCUGCAUGUGGCAGGUAUGUUUCUUGGGUAUGUGUCUAAGAAAUGUAACUUAAUUUCUUCUUUUAU